rnacentral:rRNA from 1 species
GGACAACAGUUGGAAACGACUGCUAAUACCGCAUAAGCCCACAGCUCGGCAUCGAGCAGAGGGAAAAGGAGCAAUCCGCUUUGAGAUGGCCUCGCGUCCGAUUAGCUAGUUGGUGAGGUAAUGGCCCACCAAGGCGACGAUCGGUAGCCGGACUGAGAGGUUGAACGGCCACAUUGGGACUGAGACACGGCCCAGACUCCUACGGGAGGCAGCAGUGGGGAAUAUUGCACAAUGGGGGAAACCCUGAUGCAGCGACGCCGCGUGGAGGAAGAAGGUCUUCGGAUUGUAAACUCCUGUUGUUGAGGAAGAUAAUGACGGUACUCAACAAGGAAGUGACGGCUAACUACGUGCCAGCAGCCGCGGUAAAACGUAGGUCACAAGCGUUGUCCGGAAUUACUGGGUGUAAAGGGAGCGCAGGCGGGAAGACAAGUUGGAAGUGAAAUCUAUGGGCUCAACCCAUAAACUGCUUUCAAAACUGUUUUUCUUGAGUAGUGCAGAGGUAGGCGGAAUUCCCGGUGUAGCGGUGGAAUGCGUAGAUAUCGGGAGGAACACCAGUGGCGAAGGCGGCCUACUGGGCACCAACUGACGCUGAGGCUCGAAAGUGUGGGUAGCAAACAGGAUUAGAUACCCUGGUAGUCCACACCGUAAACGAUGAUUACUAGGUGUUGGAGGAUUGACCCCUUCAGUGCCGCAG